ACCGAGACUAGAGUCACAUCCUGGUCUGUCCGUGGCCCUGGUGUGCUAGAGUCCUCGGAGAGCAACCACUGCGCUUUAUUCACUGGCGGGGUCUCCUUGUGGCGCGGCCAGUCACCAGCUCAGUGACAUCU